rnacentral:rRNA from 1 species
AUAUGAGGCCUCGUAAUCGGAAUGAGUACACUUUAAAUACUUUAACGAGGAACAAUUGGAGGGCAAGUCUGGUGCCAGCAGCCGCGGUAAUUCCAGCUCCAAUAGCGUAUACUAAAAUUGUUGCGGUUAAAAAGCUCGUAGUUGCACCUGUGCGCCGCGCUGUCGGUGCACCGCAUCCGCGGUGACCACUGGCACGUCGCGGGGCAUCACGUCGGUGAGACUCCGGUAAAACGGAGGCUCAAUUGAAACAAUCCUAUCGCGGUGCUCUUAACCGAGUGUCGAGGUGGGCCGACAAUACUUACUUUGAACAAAUUAGAGUGCUCAAAGCGGGCUAAAAACGCCGCUCGAAUAUUUUUUGCAUGGAAUAAUGGAAUACGACCUCGGUUCUAUUUUGUUGGUUCUCGGAAUCCGAGGUAAUGAUUAAUAGGAACAACUGGGGGCAUUCGUAUUGCGACGUUAGAGGUGAAAUUCUUGGAUCGUCGCAAGACGGACUUCAGCGAAAGCAUUUGCCAAAGGUGUUUUCAUCAAUCAAGAACGAAAGUUAGAGGUUCGAAGGCGAUUAGAUACCGCCCUAGUUCUAACCAUAAACGUUGCCACCUGGCGAUCCGCCGACGUUACUAUAAUGGCUCGGCGGGCGGCCUCCGGGAAACCAAAGUUUUUGGGCUCCGGGGGAAGUAUGGUUGCAAAGCUGAAACUUAAAGGAA